ACUGAAGUACAGGGAACAUGAUGCAGAGUCAGUGCAAAACUGCUUAGAACAUGAAGUACUAGGUAACCAGAUAGUUUGAAUUUCUCACAUUUGUAAAAAUUAAUAAUCUUCUAACAUUAAUCUCUUAACAUUUCUGUAUUUCCCAGCCUGAAACUUGCUGUGAACGUUCUAUGGGUUUACAUCAGGAUUUUUUUCACAUUUACUGUAGCAGUAGGAUCAUGCUUCUUAAAGUGGAUGCAUUAAAUUGUAUUAAAUGGAUUGAAGGAAAGCCUGAGGAAUUUUUAGUUCAUACAGCCAAUAUACAAGAAGGAUAGAAAAAGACAUAAAGAAAAAGCAUCAGCCUUACACUAUUUGUUGCUUGUUGACAUCAAAAUGUUUAUGAUCCUAAACUCACAUUGUUUCAAAUAUUGCAUAAAUUAGCAAGCUGAGAAUGUCUGACAGAAUGUAAUUGCCUCAUGCCAGUUUGUGAGAAGUUUAUGCUGGAAACAGCUCCUCCCUGCCCCCCCAGCAAAAUCAUCAAUAAGCACGUUGAGCUGGACCUUAACUUGGAGUGGCUCACAUCUCCUGCCAGGGUUUUAUUCCCAGAAAACAAAAUAAAACAAAACCAACCACAGGUAGUUGCAAAGGAGCAAGACUUCACUAGCAAAUAA
rnacentral:lncRNA from 1 species